rnacentral:lncRNA from 1 species
UUUUUUUAGGUGGUGGCCCUCCAGACCGGACUCGCUGAGUCGAAUCGCCGCCUAGUUUCAGAGCUGAAAACUCUUACUGAAGAAAAGAAGAAGGAGGCUCAUCACCACAAGAAGAAAAUAUCCUCCUUGAGGAAAUCUCUGGAGAUGUCGGACGCUCGAGCUCGUGAGCAAGAGACAGAGAUUGACAAUCUACGCUCUGUUUUGGCUCGUGCUCCUGAAGAGGCGGUUGAGAGGUAUAAGGCCUCAGAUGAGUACGCUGGAGAUCUUAAGGCGGCUGUGGAUCAGUAUAAGACAUCGUCCGAUUAUGCUAAGGCUUUGAACUCAUACGGGGGGAAGGCGAUGUCAGCAUCAAUUAAGCUCUCCAAGGAGUGGAUUAUGGCCGAACAUCCUUCUAUAGACCCCUCUGGCUUGGAUAGAUUUCUCGCACAGCGCAAGGGGAAGGAGAGCGUAGCUCAGUCAUCCAGAUCACUCGGUCGUUCAUCACAAGGUGGUAGUGGGGAUGUCUCCCCUUCGAGCUGAAGCAUUUCUUAGUUGCUGUUUUCCUUGCUAGUUUUUUCCUUUUUAGCGUUUACUUUUGCUUAGCCUUGUUAUCCCCUACUUGCUCGGGAUGUGGGCAAGAAUUCUUCGAAUGUAUAAACACAUCUUUCAUUUGAUAUUAUUGGCGCUGGAUGCGUGGUUCCUUUAAAAUGUCG